UUAAAUUGAAGAGUUUGAUCAUGGCUCAGAUUGAACGCUGGCGGCAGGCCUAACACAUGCAAGUCGAACGGUAACAGGAAACAGCUUGCUGUUUCGCUGACGAGUGGCGGACGGGUGAGUAAUGUCUGGGAAACUGCCUGAUGGAGGGGGAUAACUACUGGAAACGGUAGCUAAUACCGCAUAACGUCGCAAGACCAAAGAGGGGGACCUUCGGGCCUCUUGCCAUCGGAUGUGCCCAGAUGGGAUUAGCUUGUUGGUGGGGUAACGGCUCACCAAGGCGACGAUCCCUAGC
rnacentral:rRNA from 1 species